UUUUCAUUCUUUAACUCAUUGUCUCCCUCUAUUAUCUAUCUAUCUUUCGAUUCAAUCCGUCGCGUCCUCUCUUUCUCUUUUGAAACCCCGAAUCCCCCCUUCUGCUUCGUUCUCUCCUCCAUAGCCCACAAACUUAUUCUGGUCCAUAUAAUCGCUGCCCAUCCACGCUCUCUUUAUGGCUUUUCCUGCUUCUCAAAACCUCAUUUCAGUAAGCCAUAUAUCUCCCUCAGGAACGCCAUCUCUUAAACACCAUUUUCGUCAACCCCCAUCUGGAAACCCUAACUUACCGAGCUGAGCGGAAUCUUCGUCUCAGAUCACAACCCAAACUCAAACCCAAUUUCUGUCCCAAAACCCUAAGUUUGAAAAUCUCUCUCCAUGACUCCCUCUUUCUCUCGCUCUCGUCCCAACCCAAACCCAACUUCUUCGAAAAAUGUUGGAGAGGCGGCAUUCACUUUUCGACGAUUCAGCACAAGCAACGGCGGAUCUGGACUGCAACGCGAUGACGUGCGAUGAGGGAGUGAGUAGACAAGCGAUGGUCAGACAGGAAUGACGCAACGUCGAGCGGCGGGAGAAUGAGGUCUCAAACAGGGGAAAUGGACUAUAAUGGGUACGAAGAGGGCUUGAGGGGUAGUGGCUUCUCUCUCUGAGCCGGUGAGAGUGACUUCUCGGUGAUAUGUUCUCUCUCUCUCUGUCUUGCCGACUGUCUCUGACACUCUCGGUUGCGGUGUCGAAGUGGAGGUGCCGUGCGAGGAUCGGCUUAUUGUGCCUUGGGGUAGAUGGUGAGGAGUGACCGAUUUAAGAUCGGGCAACAUUGCAAGAACAAUAUCUGCAUAGAAGGAUUGUGAAGGAAGAUCUCACAGAAAUCUCCAUUGAGAUUAUUGAAAGCUGUUGACAAUGGCACUCGCUAGGUGUUUAAUAAAAAUGUUUCUUUUUUUAUUUGAUUUUUUGUAAUUGUUAUUUGUUUGUUUAAUGCGUUGGUUUGUUGGAUGAUACUCUCUGCGAGGAUUGGAAGGGCUGAGAUGGCAAGGCCUCUACUUUGGUAAAGAUGGUGAGGAGUGACAUAUUUAAGAUGGGGCAAGAUUGCAAGAAGAGUAUCUUUAUAGAAGGAUUGUAAAGGAAGAUAUCAGGAAAAUCUUUAUGACAAAUCUGAAUGUAAGUUUAUCUCCUCGGAUAUGUAUCAUUAUCAUAACCUGAGAAAAAAGAAAUUGAUGUUAUGACAGACCUGUAUCAUUGUCUUGUGUAUAAUUGACUGUAACUUUGGUUUCCUUAAGGAUUUUUAAUUAAAAAUAAAAAUAUAUUGCUGCUUGGGUUAAAAAAGAAGAAGUUUAAUUUGUUUGAAUUCUGAACUGAUUUGAUGAGAAAUUUCGGAUUAAAUUUACUAUUUUGUCAUAUGUGACGUGUUAAAUGUGCAAUUUUAGGUUCGUGUCAUUCUUAUUAUCCAUUUGUUUUAUAGGUGCCUUUUCAUUUUGCUCUAGCUCUAUAUGAAUUUACUGUUAUUUUAGUUGCAAUCAUUUUUUAUAUGGUUAUCUUUAUUGAUCCAUUUUGUUUUUUUAGGAUUUUGUUCGAUGUGUUUUGAGUAAAUACACAUGAACUAAUUGUUCAUUGUUUUUUCCCCUUUAUGUUGAGGUCCAACUAUGCUAAUCCUGAAGUUCCACUCUUGAAAAGUGGAGUCAGAAAGUCUACAAGAAGGAAAACACUAAAUGAUUUUUUCAGGUCAAACGCUGUGAAGGAUGUUAUGUACUAUGGCUCAUGUACAUUACCAGUCAGAGGAAGCUUGAUGAUCGGCUUGCUGCCUAUGUGUGUGUAUGCUUGUUAGGAUUUUUCUCAUUUUUCUUUAUUUGCUGUAGCACUUCAUAGCCUUUACACCAAAUUAUUAUUGUGGUGUCAUAAUGUCUUUGACAUUGUAACUUCAUAAAUUGUUAUAUUGAUUGAAUGAAAGAUAAUAUUUUGCCUA